CACGAUUCAUGCUCAUUUUCACCCUUAUUCAUGUUGCUUACCUUAUAAGAUUGGACUCUUUCACUUGGAUCAUUGUCAUCCCAGUUAACUGUAUGGAUUUGUUGAUAAAGAAAUCCGAUCCUGGAUUGCUUUUCUGGAAUAUUGGUCAUUAAGAUCAUUAUUAUAAGACAAUGAUAAAAAUGGAAAUGUCACUUUGAUCUGUUAUUGCUCUACCAAAAUAGGUUCCCCAGCAGAAGUUACAGAUUGUAAAUCCACUGUUGGAAUUCCUUCAUCCACGAUGUUACCAAUCACGCCUUCCUUCCAAUCAUCUCCAGUACCUGCCUCUCUACAUCGAUCCAGGAUGCGAUUCCAAGUUCCUCCGAGAUCUUCUUCACGAUCAAUCUAGGAUCCGACCAUUCUCCUCCCUGGUAAGAGGAAACUUGUUUCUUCUGAUGAGCAUCAUGGGAGUUGUUCCAGCAGUAACUGAAGAAAAUGUCAGCUGUACCGGAGAUCACAGAUCCAUCACUCCUGCUCCUGUUGCUGGAUGACUCACAUCUUUGAUCUUGAUACCUGGGAUCUUACUCUUGAUGCUACGUGCCAGCUCUGUCAUCUUAUAAGACUCAACUUCUUUGUUCUGGAAAUGGAUAUAAAGCUCGCCUGCGAUCAGAAGCCCAACUACUGUCAUCUGCCACUCAAAUGAACCAGAUCCUACCUUGUAUGGGGUUGAAAGCAAGGAUUAAAAAAAGAGGUUUGGUUGUUGAAGAUGAUGAACCCAUGGUUGCUUCCAAUGCUGUUGUACUGAUAUCCCAAUCUACCACUGAGCCGUAUUAA